GCCCGCUUGGCUCAGCGGUAGAGCGUAAGAUCAAACUUAAAUCUAAAUCUUAACCAGCGCAUACUAACUUACUAUAGGCAUCACUAGUAAUGAUGAGGUCGUCAGUUCGACUCUGGCAGUGGGCA